ensembl:lncRNA
AGGAUACACUCAUCUGAGUGUAUCUGGAUAUGUGCGUGUUUUGUAAGCAACACCCAAGGCAGUGCUUCCUGCCUCCGGCCUGCUGAGGAAGGAAGCUUUGUGGUAGGAACGUAAGGUUUGCAGGAAGCAGUCCCACUGAGUCAAUGAAGGCAGCUGUGCUAGCCAGGGCUGUGACCUGAGCCAUAGCCUGAACAAUAAAUUCUGUGAAGGAAGAAGGGCAAACCUCUGGGAAUUGCCUGUUUCCUUGGAAGAUGUGAGGAGCCUGUUGCUUGGAGGACCUCACUGCAUCUGUCGAGCAAGGAAAAGGCAGUGCUGCCCCACAAUGGACGAAAGGGAUGCAAGAUCCCAAGGUCUCCUUCGGCGUCAGAUUUCCAACUUCAGGUCUAAGGAUUUGAAGGGCUUCAACUGAGUCACACAACUCUGAUGGUAGCGGUGCCCAAUCUUCAGCUGUUGCAUCAGCAAAAGGAAGCAUCAGAAGCAGAUGUUGGUGGUACGGCAGUAGAGGCUGAACCUUUCCACCAGUAUUUCCUUCCAUUCUGUUGCCAUGUGACAGAUGGCAGCAGAGGCAGCGUCUGACAUGAAAGUGGGGGUGAAGCAAAGGUGUCCCUGAAUUCCUCUGUGCAGAAAAAAAUGGCACCUAUUGACAUUCACCAAUGCUUGCUGAGCGUUGAUGGAGACCAAACACAGUGGUGACAGCAACAUGAAAGACAAGCCAUGUUUCAGAUGGCCACGCACAGCUGUCACACCACUGAAUGAAGAGCAUCUCAAUCACCUAACCCAGGUGAACUGGUGGAUUUCAGAGUACUGUGUACAGAACUGAAUACCAUCUUAAAUGUGUUGGAAACAAUGGUGGCAAUAUUGGAAUAUCGCAAAGUUUGCAGCAGGUGGGUCUCAUGAUUGCUCACACUGGAACAGAAAGAACACUGUAUGCAACUUUGUCAGGACCUACUGAACCAACACAAGGCUGAAGGUGACGGUUUCCUGGUUUCAUUACCAGUAACAAGUUGUGGUGUUACCCUAAGAGCUGGUGUCAAAAUGGCAGUUCAGGGAGUGUCAAUGUGAAUUCCCCAUUGAAGAAAAAGUGCACUGUGCAGCCCUCAGCAUUUAAAGUGAUGUGCACUGUCUUUUUGAGAUAGGAAAGGGGUAAUCCUUUUUGGAGUUCCUGGAACACAGGCAAACCAUCAACUCUGACGGCUACAUCACAAUGCUGACUAAGCUGACGUUCAACUUUCCAGAGUCAGGCCAGAGAAGAAGACGAGGUUUCUCUUGCAACACGAUAAUGCCAGGCUUCAUUCCAGUUUGAAGACUGUGGAGCACUCUGCCAAUCCUGUCUGGACUGUCCUACCACACCCACCAUACAGCCUGGAUUUGGCACCUUUUGAGUUCCAUCUGUUUGGGCUGAUGAGAGAUGGACUGCAUAGGCAACAUUUUCCUAGCAAUGACAUCAUCAUAGCAGCCAUGAAACAGUGGGUCAGCUCCCCUGGUGCAGAUCUUUACGAGCACAGCAUGCAGGCUCUUGUUCAUCACUGGUAAAAAUGCACAACUAAUGGUGGUGGCUAUGUUGAAAAACACUAUCAAAUAGCGUUCUUCUGCUGUUUGUUGUGCUUUCCAUGAAAAUAAAGAGGAGGCAGUGCUUUCAG